rnacentral:tRNA from 1 species
GGGGGUGUAGCUCAGCUGGUUAGAGCGCUGGCCUGUCAAGCCAGAGGUCGCGGGUUCGAGCCCCGUCACUCCCGCCA